rnacentral:rRNA from 1 species
GUCCACGCCCUAAACGAUGUCUACUAGUUGUUGGGGUAGCAAUACCUUAGUAACGCAGCUAACGCGUGAAGUAGACCGCCUGGGGAGUACGGUCGCAAGAUUAAAACUCAAAGGAAUUGACGGGGGCCCGCACAAGCGGUGGAUGAUGUGGAUUAAUUCGAUGCAACGCGAAAACCUUACCUACCCUUGACAUGUCAGGAAUCCAGCAGAGACGUUGGAGUGCUCGAAAGAGAACCUGAACACAGGUGCUGCAUGGCUGUCGU